rnacentral:rRNA from 1 species
UACAGAGGGGGCAAGCGUUAUUCGGAAUUAUUGGGCGUAAAGGGCGCGUAGGCGGCUUGGCAAGUGGAUGGUGAAAUCCCUCGGCUUAACCGAGGAACGGCCGUCCAAACUGCUUCGCUUGAGACCGGGAGAGGUGGGUGGAAUUCCCAGUGUAGCGGUGAAAUGCGUAGAUAUUGGGAGGAACACCAGUGGCGAAGGCGGCUCACUGGACCGGUACUGACGCUGAAGCGCGAAAGCGUGGGGAGCAAACGGG